rnacentral:rRNA from 1 species
GACGAACGCUGGCGGCGUGCCUAAUACAUGCAAGUCGAACGAAGCUGUUUUAACUGGUGCUUGCACCGACUUAAACAACUGAGUGGCGAACGGGUGAGUAACACGUGGGUAACCUGCCCCAAAGCGGGGGAUAACAUUUGGAAACAGAUGCUAAUACCGCAUAACCACAGAAACCACAUGGUUUCUGUGUCAAAGAUGGUUUCGGCUAUCACUUUGGGAUGGACCCGCGGCGUAUUAGCUAGUUGGUAAGGUAGUGGCUUACCAAGGCAAUGAGACGUAGCCGAACUGAGAGGUUGAUCGGCCACAUUGGGACGGAGACAGGGCCCAAACUCCUACGGGAGGCAGCAGUAGGGAAUCUUCCACAAUGGACGAAAGUCUGAUGGAGCAACGCCGCGUGAGUGAAGAAGGUUUUCGGAUCGUAAAACUCUGUUGUCAGAGAAGAACGUGUGCGAGAGUAACUGUUCGUGCAGUGACGGUAUCUGGCCAGAAAGCCACGGCUAACUACGUGCCAGCAGCCGCCGCAG